rnacentral:rRNA from 1 species
AACUAUAUCGCAAGAAUAUGAUAGAGGACAAUGGAAUUCCAUGUGUAGCGGUGAAAUGCAUAGAUAUAUGGAGGAACACCAAUUGCGAAGGCAGUUGUCUGGGUCAUUAUUGACGUUGAGGCUCGAAAGCAUGGGUAGCAAAUGGGAUUAGAUACCCUAGUAGUCCAUGCCGUAAACGAUGAAUACUAGUUAUUAGAUGUUAAGUCUAGUGAUUGAGCUAACGCAUUAAGUAUUCCACCUGAGUAGUACAUUCGCAAGAAUGAAACUUAAAGGAAUUGACGGGGACCCGCACAAGCGGUGGAGCAUGUGGUUUAAUUCGAAGAAACGCGAAAAACCUUACCUGGAUUUGACAUCCCUUGCAAAGCUAUGGAAACAUAGUGGAGGUUAUCAAGGUGACAGGUGGUGCAUGGUUGUCGACAGUUCGUGUCGUGAGAUGUAUGGUUAAGUCCCAUAACGAGCGCAACCCUCAUCCUUAUUUGUUAACAUUUAGUUGAGAACUAUAAGGAAACUGCAGUCGUAAGAUUGAGGAAGGUGGGGAUGACGUCAAAUCAUCAUGCCCCUUAUAUUCAGGGCUACACACGUGCUACAAUGGUUGAGACAAAGGGAAGCUAACCCGUGAGGGGGUGCAAAUCUCAUCAAACUCAAUCUCAGUUUGGAUCGAAGUCUGCAAUUCGACUUCGUGAAAUUGGAAUCGCUAGUAAUCGCAGAUCAGCAAUGUUGCGGUGAAUACGUUCUCGGGUCUUGUACACACCGCCCGUCAUC